GGCCAGGCUUUACUCAAAGCCAUUUUACUUUCAAAAAAAGCAGAACU
rfam:Gallus gallus isolate RJF #256 breed Red Jungle fowl, inbred line TCD001 chromosome 5, whole genome shotgun sequence.